rnacentral:rRNA from 1 species
UAAAGAUUCAUCGCUGAUAGAUAGGCAUGCGUUCCAUUAGGCAGUUGGCGGGGUAACGGCCCACCAAACCGACGAUGGAUAGGGGUUCUGAGAGGAAGGUCCCCCACAUUGGUACUGAGACACGGACCAAACUCCUACGGGAGGCAGCAGUGAGGAAUAUUGGUCAAUGGGCGUAAGCCUGAACCAGCCAAGUCGCGUGAGGGAUGAAGGUUCUAUGGAUCGUAAACCUCUUUUAUAAGGGAAUAAAGUGUGGGACGUGUCCUAUUCUGUAUGUACCUUAUGAAUAAGGAUCGGCUAACUCCGUGCCAGCAGCCGCGGUAAUACGGAGGAUCCGAGCGUUAUCCGGAUUUAUUGGGUUUAAAGGGUGCGUAGGCGGCCUUUUAAGUCAGCGGUGAAAGUCUGUGGCUCAACCAUAGAAUUGCCGUUGAAACUGGGGGGCUUGAGUAUGUUUGAGGCAGGCGGAAUGCGUGGUGUAGCGGUGAAAUGCUUAGAUAUCACGCAGAACCCCGAUUGCGAAGGCAGCCUGCCAAGCCAUGACUGACGCUGAUGCACGAAAGCGUGGGGAUCAAACAGGAUUAGAUACCCUGGUAGUCCACGCAGUAAACGAUGAUCACUAGCUGUUUGCGAUACAGUGUAA